GUGCUCAUUGUCUGGAAGUCCACAUCUUUUGAUAGGUACGUGGUGCUCAUUGUCUGGAAGUCCACAUCGUUUGAUAGGUACGUGGUGCUCAUUGUCUGGAAGUCCACAUCGUUUGAUAGGUACGUUGUGCUCAUUGUCUGGAAGUCCAC